GAUUGCUCUGCUUUCAAAGGGUAGAAUUAUCAAUCCCAGUAUGGCAUUUUCUAAUCCUAAAGUGAUUUAGACUUAAUCUUAGUUUUCCAGCUGCUUCUGAAGAAUGUAAUACACUACCUUGUAAAGGUGUGUAAAAAAGAUACCCAGCAGUAGUAUUUAAAACAUUUAUUUGAACAGAACAACUCCAGUUUUACUUUGUACUUUUAAAAAUGUAAUCAAAGAAGAAUGUCUGGAAUUCAAAGGAAUAUCAGAAUAUGAUUUUUUCCUCUCUUUCCUUUUUCAGUCACCAGGCUCAAAUUCACGCACAGGGGCACGUGAUAAUGUCAUACCCUGAAAUGACCUAAUAAAAUACCAAAUAUCUGAGUUUGUAAAGCAGCUUCUAUUGACAGCUCUGCCAGCAUUAGAGAGAUCCACAUCUUCAAGUUUUCAGAUUCUGUAGGACACUUUAUGGCUGAAACUGAGGUAGGAGAGCAACACAAAAUGUUAGCAUUUUGUAUGCUGUCUUCUCUGGAAUUCAGAAUUUGCAGAGGAUUUAUGAGCCUUUCCUCAGUGUGAUUGUGCAAUGGAAGUACAGAAGCUGCUGCAGGAGAACAAGAAUUUUCCUCGCUUUGUGCGUCUACUCAUAUCUUUUGCUCUCACUCAUGGUCAAGGAUUUUUUUAGCUGCUAAAGCUUUUCCCGCCCCCUUAGAGGGCAGAAGGAACACAAUGGCAGUGUCAUCUGAUCACCUGUAAUAUGAGCUUUUCUCAUCUGUGUCUCAUCUGAUCUCCUGUUAGGUCAGAUUUUCCCAAAGAUGUAUUUCUUGGUGACUAGCUGUACGAAAAGGAUUCAGUUCAGGCACAAAAUUUUCCAUAAACCAGAGGAUACAAACUUCAGUUCUGGGAGGACCGUAGAACGCCUGGAAAAUGGAAAAGAAGGAAGGGUAGGAAUUGUUUUAAAUGAUAUUUUUGGUUAUACUCAUUAUCAAAAUACUUAUUCUUUCACUUUCUUUUAUAUGUUUGUUGUAGUAGGCGUGUUAUGGGGCAUUCGGGUUGUAACGCGGAAGACCCUUCCCCAUAUGCUUGCUAUUGGUUCACCUCCUUUACUUGAACCCGUGUUGUAAGAAGGAGAGGCUGUCCUUCUUUGUUUUCAUAACAAAGGGCACAACAACUCCGUAUAUGGCCUUUUGGAAGUAAGAGGUCAGAAGCGGGAUAUUCAAUAUGAUUGGCCAGGAGCCUGCAUGAGCUUCUGGAACAGUCUAGUAAAAAGAUAAGAAAUACUAUAUAGUUUUGUAGCUUUUAACAAUAAACGCCAUUUUGCUGCUCA
rnacentral:lncRNA from 1 species